UCACCGCUUACGCGGGCAGUCUCAUUAGAGUCCCCGGCAUUACCCGUUGGCAACUAAUGAUAGGGGUUGCGCUCGUUGCGGGACUUAACCCAACACCUCACGGCACGAGCUGACGACGGCCAUGCAGCACCUAGUUUUAGGUCAUUGCUGACUGUCAUAUUUCUACAACAUUCCUUAACUUUCAAGCCCUGGUAAGGUUCCUCGCGUAUCAUCGAAUUAAACCACAUGCUCCUCCGCUUGUGCGGGCCCCCGUCAAUUCCUUUGAGUUUCAGCCUUGCGGCCGUACUCCCCAGGUGGAUUACUUAACGCUUUAGCUGUGACGCGUACGGUAUAUUGCACACAUCUAGUAAUCAUCGUUUAGGGCGUGGACUAC
rnacentral:misc_RNA from 1 species